AAUAAGAUCGAUUAUUGAUUAUUGCUUGAGUAUUGCUCCUUUGGAAUGAUUACUCUGUCAAAUUUCAAUUUUAGGCUGCACUGGACGCAUUUCUGUCAAACGGAACUGUGUGCAUUAUGACGUGAGCCGUACUAAGCAUAUACUCUUAUGGGUCUCAGGGCUCAUGCCUUGAUGCACAUAGUUCCGCUUGAUAGAAAUACGUCCAACUUUAGAUGAUAUGCACUAGAAGAUGGGAAUCAUUAAGAAGCAGGAGCCCAACCUUAUAUUGACAGGAAAAAACCAUUGGGAAUCGAAAUUUUUUCUCGGCAUUUCUUACUUGCUUCACAGCCUGCGGUACAUGUCACUGAAAUCAAGAUCUUGGUAUAAAUUAUGCAAAAUUGUUUUUCUAACUUUUUCAGAUCGUCUGUAAAUAUGAUCCGCCUCCCACUAUGUCUACAGAUUACGUAACAUAUAGAUCACCUGCCCUGCCCUUUUAAAUAAAAAAUCGGGAAAACUAAAAAAGUAUAUUGGAUAAAAUUGCGAGUAAAUUCCAUAAAAAUAUUGAACGAAAAUAUUUUCAAGUUUCUCAGAAAACUCGAGUUUUAUCAGAGGAAAUUUGGCACCGUACAAGGGGCGAUAAGACUUUCUGCCAUAACACGGCGGCGUUGGGGCUGCCUGGAGAUGAUGAACAAAACAAGUUGGUUUUCAGGUGCCGGGGGGCGCCGCUUUCUCCAGCCUCCAGUGGACAGGACCAAGCCAAAUGAGUCUAUCAACGUGUCAAGCAUGAGCCUCGCUAAUAACAUAUCCCCUCACGCCCCAGAUCUCACGAUGAGGUGCAGAUGGACCCCUUCAGCUCAACAGGACAACUGUACAGUUCGUUUGGACGCGUCGUUCGUCCUAAUCAACUUAACUGCAUUUUGAAUGGGCAUCUAAGCAAAGUAUGAUGUAAAACACAACGUAAAAUGUUAACGAAGGGAACGACAAGUGAAAGGGUGGCGACAGAGGGUUUUAAAUGAAAUGAGGGAGUGCCAACUCUCUGAAGGGUUGUGAGAGAACAGGGUACUGUGGGGGUGAGGCGUCGCAGAGCACAAGAGAACGCUGUGAAAGUGGCUAAAAUAUGUACAAAGUUUGUCAAAAUUUAAAUUUUUCUUAUAUAUAAGAUAACUGAUUUGCAUGAAUUGCAAUAAACGGAACACGUUCCAGCAUUUCUGAAGCUAUAUCUGAAAGCAUCACCGAAGUGGUCCAAAUCUGUUUCAUUUUUUAAAAGAUUUAUGCAAAUUCAUGAAUUCGGAAAAAAAUCAUACCGAUGCAUAUAUGUGUAUGAUAAUAUUAUGCGAUGGAAGAAAAGUCAAUAGCAAAAUUCUUAGGUUUUCUUUACUAUAUUCAAACAUAACAUUUGUGAAAAUAACAGCAUAUAUGGUAUAUACAAAAUUUGCUUUGCAAAAAUUACAACCGAUGAUAGCAUGUAUACACAAUUAGACAAUGACUUCUGAUUGACAAAUUAUAAGAUAAAUCUCGGGGAAUUAUCUAAUGUUCGGUGUCUAGUUUGAGCGCGUUAGCAUUCAUGAUCACAAAAAUAGGUACAUCAUAGUAUUUACAAGAUUGCAAUUAUAUUAUCAAGUAUCAAGUUUACAGUUUCGAGUUUCAUCUGAGUCUCUUUUUUACUUUAAGGGCGUUGCUACACUGCAUUUGUAUCAAUAUUUUAAGUUUGUUUAUCUUCCUUCCAUUAUUUCCAAUUUUAUUAAUUACACCAUUUUUCUGCAGAAAUUUUGCGAUUUUGACUUUGUCAAUUUGCUGCAAUAUA